UGGAAGAAAACUGGCAUAGGGUGUGCUGUUCUCACUGUGCAGGGAAGGAGCACAGCAGGAAAUACUGGUGGCAUGCAGAGAGGAUACAGAUGAUUUGAUGACUCUGCCACCCUAGAGUCUUGAGGCUGAGAAAGAAGAUGAAAAGGACAGAGAAUAAAUUAAAGAGUAAAAACA